rnacentral:rRNA from 1 species
CCUACGGGGUGCAGCAGUGGGGAAUAUUGGACAAUGGGCGAAAGCCUGAUCCAGCCAUGCCGCGUGUGUGAAGAAGGCCUUCGGGUUGUAAAGCACUUUCAGUGGGGAAGAAAGCCUUGGGGCUAAUACCCUCGAGGAAGGACAUCACCCACAGAAGAAGCACCGGCUAACUCCGUGCCAGCAGCCGCGGUAAUACGGAGGGUGCGAGGCGUUAAUCGGAAUUACUGGGCGUAAAGCGCGCGUAGGCGGUCUGAUAAGCCGGUUGUGAAAGCCCCGGGCUCAACCUGGGAACGGCAUCCGGAACUGUCAGGCUAGAGUGCAGGAGAGGAAGGUAGAAUUCCCGGUGUAGCGGUGAAAUGCGUAGAGAUCGGGAGGAAUACCAGUGGCGAAGGCGGCCUUCUGGACUGACACUGACGCUGAGGUGCGAAAGCGUGGGUAGCAAACAGGAUUAGAUACCCUGGUAGUC